rnacentral:rRNA from 1 species
GAGUUUGAUCGUGGCUCAGGAUGAACGCUGGCGGCGUGCCUAAUACAUGCAAGUCGAGCGAACAGAUAAGGAGCUUGCUCCUUUGAAGUUAGCGGCGGACGGGUGAGUAACACGUGGGUAACCUACCUAUAAGACUGGGGAUAACUUCGGGAAACCGGAGCUGAUACCGGAUAACAUUUAGAACCGCAUGGUUCUAAAGUGAAAGAUGGUUUUGCUAUCACUUAUAGAUGGACCCGCGCCGUAUUAGCUAGUUGGUAAGGUAACGGCUUACCAAGGCGACGAUACGUAGCCGACCUGAGAGGGUGAUCGGCCACACUGGAACUGAGACACGGUCCAGACUCCUACGGGAGGCAGCAGUAGGGAAUCUUCCGCAAUGGGCGAAAGCCUGACGGAGCAACGCCGCGUGAGUGAUGAAGGGUUUCGGCUCGUAAAACUCUGUUAUUAGGGAAGAACAAAUGUGUAAGUAACUGUGCACAUCUUGACGGUACCUAAUCAGAAAGCCACGGCUAACUACGUGCCAGCCGCGCUGUAAC